rnacentral:rRNA from 1 species
CUACGGGAGGCUGCAGUGAGGAAUAUUGCACAAUGGGGGGAACCCUGAUGCAGCAACGCCGCGUGGAGGAUGACGCAUUUCGGUGUGUAAACUCCUUUUAUAUGUCAAGAAAAUGACGGUAGCAUAUGAAUAAGCACCGGCUAACUCCGUGCCAGCAGCCGCGGUAAUACGGAGGGUGCAAGCGUUACUCGGAAUCACUGGGCGUAAAGGACGCGUAGGCGGGUUGGAAAGUCAGGUGUGAAAUCCUACAGCUUAACUGUAGAACUGCACUUGAAACUUCUAAUCUAGAGUAUGGGAGGGGGAGAUGGAAUUAGUGGUGUAGGGGUAAAAUCCGUAGAUAUCACUAGGAAUACCUAAAGCGAAGGCGAUCUCCUGGAACAUUACUGACGCUAAGGCGUGAAAGCGUGGGGAGCAAACAGGAUUAGAUACCCUUGUAGUC